rnacentral:rRNA from 1 species
UACAGAGGGUGCGAGCGUUAAUCGGAAUUACUGGGCGUAAAGCGCGCGUAGGCGGCUUUGUAAGUCGGUUGUGAAAUCCCCGGGCUUAACCUGGGAACUGCAUCCGAGACUGCAUAGCUAGAGUAUGGGAGAGGGAAGUGGAAUUUCAGGUGUAGCGGUGAAAUGCGUAGAUAUCAGGAGGAACACCGGUGGUGUAGACGGCUUUCUGGACCGUAACUGACGCUGAGGCACGAAAGCGUGGGUAGCAAACAGG